rnacentral:rRNA from 1 species
AGUGAACGCUGGCGGCGUGCCUAAUACAUGCAAGUCGAACGGAGAUUCAGUAGCUUGCUAUUUAAUCUUAGUGGCGCACGGGUGAGUAAUAUAUAGCUAACUUGCCCAUUACUAAGGGACAACAGUUGGAAACGACUGCUAAUACCUUAUACUCCGUAUCUAUAUAAGUAGAUACGGGAAAGUUUUUCGGUAAUGGAUAGGGCUAUAUCGUAUCAGCUAGUUGGUAAGGUAAUGGCUUACCAAGGCUAUGACGCGUAACUGGUCUGAGAGGAUGAUCAGUCACACUGGAACUGAGACACGGUCCAGACUCCUACGGGAGGCAGCAGUAGGGAAUAUUGCUCAAUGGGGGAAACCCUGAAGCAGCAACGCCGCGUGGAGGAUGACACUUUUCGGAGCGUAAACUCCUUUUCUUGGGAAAGAAUUAUGACGGUACCCAAGGAAUAAGCACCGGCUAACUCCGU